UACGGAGGGUGCGAGCGUUGUCCGGAAUUAUUGGGCGUAAAGAGCUCGUAGGCGGUGUGUCGCGUCGGCCGUGAAAACCUGCAGCUUAACUGUGGGCGUGCGGUCGAUACGGGCAUCACUGGAGUUCGGCAGGGGAGACUGGAAUUCCUGGUGUAGCGGUGAAAUGCGCAGAUAUCAGGAGGAACACCGGUGGCGAAGGCGGGUCUCUGGGCCGUAACUGACGCUGAGGAGCGAAAGCGUGGGGAGCGAACAGG
rnacentral:rRNA from 1 species